AGUGAACGCUGGCGGUAGGCCUAACACAUGCAAGUCGAACGGCAGCACAGUAAGAGCUUGCUCUUACGGGUGGCGAGUGGCGGACGGGUGAGGAAUACAUCGGAAUCUACUUUUUCGUGGGGGAUAACGUAGGGAAACUUACGCUAAUACCGCAUACGACCUACGGGUGAAAGCAGGGGAUCUUCGGACCUUGCGCGAUUGAAUGAGCCGAUGUCGGAUUAGCUAGUUGGCGGGGUAAAGGCCCACCAAGGCGACGAUCCGUAGCUGGUCUGAGAGGAUGAUCCGCCACACUGGAACAGAGACACGGUCCAAAACCCUAAGGGGGGGAGCAGUAGGGAAAAUUGCGCAAUGGGGGGAAACCCUAACCAGGCAAGCCGCGGGGGGGAAGAAGGGCCUCGGGUUUUAAAACCCUUUUUUUUGGGAAAAAAAAACGGGAGGGUAACACCCCGCGUUUUGACGGUAACCAAAAAAAAAGGCACGGCUAACUUCGUG
rnacentral:rRNA from 1 species